UACGUAGGGGGCAAGCGUUGUCCGGAAUCAUUGGGCGUAAAGGGCGCGUAGGCGGCCUGUUAAGUCGGACGUGAAAUCCCCGGGCUCAACCCGGGAACUGCGUCCGAUACUGGCAGGCUUGAAUCCGGGAGAGGGAUGCGGAAUUCCAGGUGUAGCGGUGAAAUGCGUAGAUAUCUGGAGGAACACCGGUGGCGAAGGCGGCAUCCUGGACCGGCAUUGACGCUGAGGCGCGAAAGCCAGGGGAGCAAACGGG
rnacentral:rRNA from 1 species